UCACUCCUGAUUUUGAAAAUAAUACUUUAUUAGAUUAUAAUCAUUAUACUGCAUGAUGGGUUUCAUAAUGACAUUCUCACUCAAGUAUGUCAUUAAAUGUGCUUAAAUUUCCAGACUGGGUUUCCCAGACCUUUAGUGUCUUCUGCAGCCUGUGUCUCUUCCGUCUAUUGUUAUCUAAUCUCCCCUUCCCAGCCACUCAGGAAAAUUCACAGUUGGGUUCCCCAAAGUCCAGCUCUCUGGCAGUCUUCAGAAAUAGUUCUCUCCACGUGUCAGAAUUUCAGCAGUAAGUACAUGUUGACUGGAACAUUGAGCUGCAUGCUUAAAAAAAAAAAGUCUCCCACUAAAUUAUACAACAUGCAGCUGAGAAAAUAACGGAGAUGCUUAAAGAACGCAUUCCAUACAUGUACUCGCAGGAUAUGCUUUUGGGAAAAGAACGCGAGCUUCCUUCCCCUGUGCUAAAUAAGACUAGAGAUAGAUUGCUCCAUUUAAGAUUUCCAUUAAUUCCAUUAAUAAACUUCUCAGAAUAUGAAAUGUCUCGAGAAUGUAGUGAGGCUAAGAUGAAAGCCGCAUAAUUCUCACUGGUGUCAGGCCUGGCACGCAGGAGAAGAUAUGCUAAUGCGGCCGUUUGCCGCAGGGCUGGUGUUAUUUAUAUAGUGCUAGCUGGGCAAGGCUGGCUCUGGAGUCUGGAGUGCCAAGAGCAUUUGGAUCUCCUGUGAGGUGUAGAUGUGUGCGCGCCUGUGCGCAGAGCAUAGGAAUUGUGAUUCCGAGACCUUGGGGAGGGGGUGGGGCAGGCCGCCCUCAUUCACGUUUGUAUCGAGUGUGUGGCUUCUGUUGAAGGUCUAGCCUUCUAGAGUUGUGUUUAUUUGACAUUCAUUCUGGAGCACAGAAAGAAAUGGCGAUUUGGGGCGGGUGCUGCAGUAGGUCGUGUGUGACCCAGCGUUGUAAGGGGCUGUCAUCCUAAAAUUGGCAAACAUGCCUCCUUGCCCCAGCUCCGUGACCAUAAAAAGCUGCCUUAUUUGAGUCUGGAAGAAGAACAGAAGGUUGUUCUGGAAGACAGGCAACCCUUGGGCUCAAGACCAGGAGUGGGGUGCCAGCCGCCAGGCACCUCGGAAACGAACAGAGGUCACGGAGAGCCGGUGUGCCCGGGGCGAGGUCCCUUGCGGCUGUGGGACUUGAGACUGGCAGACGACACUGUCCUCUCACUCCCAGCCAGUGCAGACUCCUUGGUGACCCCCGUCCCCCGCGCCCAGAGACCACCAGGGAUCUUGCAGCGGCCCGGGUGUCCCUCUCCCCGCCCCUGCGUCUGUCCGGGCGGUGGCGACACGGCCCGGCUGGAGGGGGCGCUCGUGCGCAGGAGCGGCGCAGCAGGUGCCGCGGUUACCUCCACCUCGGCGGGGGGAGAGGGGGCGGGCCGGGGCGGGAGGCGGAGGCCGGCUCGGUGAGCCGAGAGCGCGGCCGGCUCCGCAGGCUGGCUGCGAGCUUGCGGCUUCCGGGAGCGCCCGAAGUCCGUGGAGGAUCUCCCAACCCGCGGCCGCCGGCGGCCCCAGCACAACGCGCACCGGUGCCCGCAGGGCCCCGAGUCGCGACAAGGGCGCGGGUCCGGCUCCUCCUCCUCCCCGGCCGGCGCGCAUCAGCGGAGAGCCUCGUAGCUAGGCGGGCGCCCGGGCCGCGGCGCGGAUGAGCCGCGGCGGCUGAGGACUCGAACGGUUUCUGCCCGGCGCCCAGGGCACGGGGGUGCGCGGGUGACAUGGGGGUGGCCUGACUCGCCGGGCCCGGAGCACUCUCUCCGGCCGCGGGCCCUCCUCCUCGGCGGCGGCGCUGUGCCCGGGCGCCCGCCGAGCUCCGCCGCGCUCUAUGCGCCUCUGCGGGAGCCGCGGGCCCUGGCCAUGGCGAUAGACCGGCGGCGUGAGGCGGCGGGUAGUGGUGCCGGGCGGCAGCCGGCCCCGGCGGAGGAGAACGGCUCCCUGCCGCCCGGGGACGCGGCGGCCUCGGCGCCCCUCGGAGGGCGCGCGGGCUCCGGCAGCAGCGCGGAGAUCCAGCCACUGCCUGCGCUGCACCCCAGCGGCGGCCCGCACUCGAGCUGCUGCGCGGCGACAGCCGCCCCGAGCCUCCUGUUGCUGGACUACGAUGGCUCCGUGCUGCCCUUCCUCGGGGGCCUGGGCGGCGGCUACCAGAAGACCCUGGUGGUGCUCACCUGGAUCCCGGCACUGUUCAUUGGCUUCAGCCAGUUCUCGGACUCCUUCCUUCUGGACCAGCCCGAUUUCUGGUGCCGCGGGGCCGGCAAAGGCACCGAGCUGGCGGGUGCCACUGUCACCGGCCGAUGGGGUGACAUGGGCAAUUGGACCAGCCCCUCGGCCACCCCCUUCUCCACUGCCUCCUGGGGGACCACGAGCAACCGAAGCAACAGCAGCGACACACCACCCCUCCCAUCCCCUCCAGGCAAGGGGAACAACGACUCAAAUUGCGACUGCCACGCGUGGGACUACGGCAUCCGCACUGGUCUCAUCCAAAACGUGGUCAGCAAGGGUUGGCCGGCGGCCUGUGCUGCUGUUUUCCACCAUCUUCAUCCUCAUCUUUGGACUGACUGUGGCACUGUCAGUGAAUGUGACAAUGUUCAGCACACUCAGGUUCUUUGAAGGAUUUUGCCUGGCUGGAAUCAUCCUCACCUUGUAUGCAUUACGAAUAGAGCUAUGCCCUCCAGGAAAACGGUUCAUAAUUACCAUGGUGGCGAGCUUCGUGGCCAUGGCGGGCCAGUUCCUCAUGCCGGGGCUGGCUGCGCUGUGCCGGGACUGGCAGGUGUUGCAGGCCCUCAUCAUCUGUCCCUUCCUGCUCAUGCUGCUCUACUGGUCGAUUUUCCCUGAGUCUCUCCGAUGGCUAAUGGCUACCCAGCAAUUUGAAUCAGCAAAGAAGUUGAUCCUGUACCUUACUCAGAAGAACUGUGUGAGCCCUGAGAGUGAUAUCAAGGGAGUGAUGCCAGAGCUCGAGAAAGAGCUUUCACGGAGGCCCAAGAAGGUGUGCAUCGUGAAGGUGGUGGGGACGAGGAACCUGUGGAAAAACAUUGUGGUUCUCUGUGUGAACUCGCUGACAGGGUACGGGAUCCACCACUGCUUUGCAAGAAGCAUGAUGGGCCAUGAAGUGAAGGUGCCGCUCCUGGAGAACUUCUACGCUGACUACUACACCAUGGCCAGCAUCGCACUGGCCUCCUGCCUAGCCAUGUGUCUGGUAGUCAAGUUCCUCGGGCGCAGGGGAGGGCUGCUGCUCUUCAUGAUCCUCACUGCCCUGGCCUCACUUCUACAGCUCGGGCUUCUCAACUUGAUCGGCAAAUACAGCCAGCAUCCAGACUCAGAAUUGCAGCUGAAGUUGGCCGUAGGGAUGAGUGACAGCGUCAAGGACAAGUUCUCCAUUGCGUUUUCCAUCGUGGGAAUGUUUGCAUCCCAUGCGGUGGGGAGCCUCAGUGUCUUCUUCUGUGCAGAGAUCACUCCCACAGUGAUAAGGUGUGGUGGGCUCGGGCUGGUGCUGGCCAGUGCAGGUUUUGGCAUGCUGACAGCGCCCAUUAUUGAGCUGCACAACCAAAAAGGCUACUUCCUGCACCAUAUCAUCUUCGCCUGCUGCACGCUCAUCUGCAUCAUUUGCAUCCUCCUGCUUCCUGAGAGCAGGAACCAGAACCUGCCUGAGAAUAUCGCCAACGGGGAACACUACACACGGCAACCGCUGCUGCCACACAAGAAGGGAGAGCAGCCCUUGCUGCUCACCAACGCGGAGCUCAAGGACUACUCGGGCCUGCAUGACGUGGCUGCAGUGGGUGACGGGCUGCCAGAGGGGGCCACUGCCAAUGGCAUGAAGACUAUGUAGCUCGCUGGACCACGCCACCAUUCCACCAGUCCCCCCGGGGCUUGAAGGGCUGGGGAGAGUUUGCACACAGGUUUACAGACCAGGGAGGAAGUCCAUCUCUGCUGCUGACUCCACUCAAUUGUGAGACUUUCAACCGGUGUGGGGAAUUCUGUCUUUCCAGACAUCCGAGGAACACAUCUGAGAAACCAGAUGCUCUGGAAAUAACCCUCUGAAGACUUUCUUUUCUGCCAUUCAAUGUUUGUAUUUAUUUUGGUCAUUUUUACGAGAAGCACUUUAUCCCCUUCCCCCCUCCACUGAUCAUGAAGCAGAACCUCCUUCAGGAGUGAGGGUCACUCUGAGGAAGUCCCUGUAAGUGACCAAUGCAGUGGCCAGUCCCCUCCCUGGAGGCCAGACUCAAUUUCCUUCUCCACUCAAGGAGACAGAGGUCAUCUGUAGGCCAGGACCCCUACCUCCAGGCUCCCUGCCAUGGACAGCUGUGCCUCUCAAGCAGAGAGUCCUUGGGACUACAUUUUACACAGAGGAAAAUGUACAUGAAUUGUUGUUUUUCUUUUUUUCUUUUCCUAGAGUCUGUAUAUUUUAAAGUUGGGUACUUUACUUUCUGUUUGUUAGGUAGUUUCCAUGCUGUGUUGGGAAAACAGCCUCCAGAUGUCAUACGAGCCAGCUUAAUCUUUCUUUCCUUCAGGAUCAUCCUUUUGUACUUGAUCUGGAAGUUUUUGUGGGGAAACUUCCAUACUUCACCAGAAAUCCUACAUGAUGAGAAAGCGCCAGUUCCCGCCGCCGCCCGGUUUGCUUAGUUAAGUCCACAGCAGCUGUUGUGUUGAGGUGGGAGCCAUGUUUGUUUCUGCUAAGACACUUUCCUUGACUGAGCUCCAGCAGCAAAGGUCCCUCUUCCCCAGCCAGCCCUGUUGCCAGUACUACUUGAAAAUGUGGCCACUUCCAGAACUCCAAACAAAAGGAAAAUAACAGAAAAAGGCAAAUCCCAGGAGGGAGUCUCGAUGUCCCACACAUGGCCGCCACUCACGUCUCCAGCACAUACCAUAGAGAGCUCCAGCUUGGAUGGCUGCCACUCUGACAUCACAACAGUGCCCACAGCACCUGGAGGCGGUCCACCUCAUGUCUUCCUCAAUGGCUUCCUGCCUGUCACUCACUCAGCACAAAAGGGCCCUGGGCAGGAGUGCAGGUUGCUCACAGGUCAGUCCACGUGGCCUCUAGUCCCUUGAAAGCAGCAAGAAGUGAGAGAAAGCAAUAACUCACCAAAGCUCAACUCCCAUCCUGUACCAGCCUCCCAGGAUGUCCUUUAUCUGUGUCCCUCAUCUUGCCCCAGACAGCAGGGCACCAGGGCUGCUAAGAAACCAGCCUCUGGACCUCUUGCAGCAGCUCAGGCACCAGCUUCUCUGGGCAUCGUGGCUUCUUAUCAACCAUCUGCCUUGCCUCUUGCCAUGCGUCUCUCCCACGUGCUCUUCCAGGGAAAUCAUGGCCUUGGGCCUAUGUAGGCAACAAAGUGACUUCUAAAUGACAGUUGCUAGAAUUCAAAGGCCAGAAAAAGGGUUGAGUUGAGCCCCUUCCAGCUCCUUGUCUGAUCUGUUUCUUACAGUCUUACCCACUUCUCUUCCACAUCUGAUAGAGACAUCAGUGGAAUCCAGCCGCCUUGAUCAAGCCCUCUUGAGAGUACUGAUUCCAUAUGCAACCCUGUUUCUGGCAGCUGGCCUAUGUUCUCUUUGAUGCCUGGGGUCCUGAGUGCUUUGCUUGAGGACCAACAUGUCUAGGAGGGCGGCCAUGUGGCCAGUCCUUGAUACCUGUUUUAAGUCCAGCUUCCCUUCACUCUCCCUGGUCUCUCAGUCAUCCCUCUUCCAUGCCUUGAGGUUAGUACACAUUCUCUUUCCAAAGCCUCUGUGAUCUGUGCAGCCUUUGCGUGCCAAACUUGUAAGAUACCAUUCACCUUUCCCAGGUACCUGCUACCAAGUCACCUGGCAGCAACCUUCUGUUAAGGACAGAAUGGGACAUUUGCAGUCAUGAGCAGGCUUACACUGGUUGUGUUGGCCUGCAGAAAUCACUAGGUUAGUGGUGUCAAGGUAUAGCACUUCGAAACUUCUUUUCAAGGUCUCCAAUCUCCACCUCAAAUGACAGUGGUAAGAACACUAGGCCAAUGCAGACAGUGUUAAUGGCUGCAGCGACCAGAGGCAACCCAUCAGGGAUUAGCAAAGAAGCUGCCACUGAGGCAGGGGCCAGAGGACCAUCAACCAGAAGGCAGACUGCUGGCAGUGUCUUAUGCCAGCCUCAGGGAAAGACUAAGCAGCUCAGUUUCUGCUUCAGUGCAUGGACACCUGAAGUUGCUAGAACACCUUCAUGAAAGAUAGCCAAAACAGGAAAGCUUGCUUGUGAGCCAGCUUGCUGUGUGGUCUGACCAAGUGAGAAAGACAGCAGGCACCCAGGCCUCAGACACUCUGACCUAGCUCCAGAAAGAUGGCCACAGCCCAGCUCCCUGGUACCAAGCUGUCAUCCCUAAACUUGGCCCUUUGUCCCUUGUGGGCAGAUGCUCCUCAAGCACUGGCCUUUGUGUGGGGCCCCUCCCUCCCUGGAGAACGUUAAAAGGUCUUACUCUCCACCCAUCCCUACACCUGUUUUCAUAAGUUAUGCACAAAUGUCAACAGCUGAGACGGGGUGGGACAAGUUCUUCAUUUUGCUCUUUAUUAAGUCAAAUAUUAUGGAAAUAUCUACUUAUUAGCACCCAAGACAAAUAGGGGAAAGGUUUAGAUGUUUUUGUGUUUUUAAGACUAUAACCACCUGCAACUGGAGGACAGGGCUGAUAACGGGUUUGGCCACAAAAUGGAAAGCAAGCAAAAUCAGACCUCGUAAGGGGAGUAUCACACACAGUCACGACUACUUCCCAGAGCCAAACGAGAAGUCCCUGAACUAGAAGUGCCAUUCAAAGAAUCUCGUGACCAUCACACACCCAGCCCCUGGGUGGCACAUGGGUUGAGGGAGGCCCACACUUCAACUCCUCCCUGUUCUGAAUGACACCACCUCACUCUAAUGUAUUGUGUGUGUUUUAGAGAAACAAUAUGGUGUGUUGUGUCUAGUGAGGAACGCCUCCCUACCUCUGUCCUUUCUGCAACCCAACCAUGCGUGCUUUUCCUCUAAGAGCCGCGUGACUGUACGUGUUGAAGGGGGCGGUACCUGUUCACAGCACAAGUUUAUGUUGAGCUCUGAACUGUCAUUCACAGCUGCGUGUCUGCAUGGUGUCGCAUCUGUUGUACCUUUGGGGAAAAUUUGUAUGUAAAUGUACAGAAAUAAAAAUGUUGCCCCAUUAACAGAUUUCCUCUGGAAUGUCUUCCCUACCUCACCUGAUGGUAUCCACAAAGGGCAUUUCACUACCACUGAGGACGAGUAAGAAAAUCCUCCACGUUGAUCAGACCUCCCCACGUCACUACUUUCAAGGCUUCUUCUGUGAGCGGCCUUCAUUCGCCCUGCAGAUGGUGGGGCCUCUCACUCUGCUUUAAGAGUCCUAGUCUUAAAAGGUAGUCAGAGGCUGAGAUCGGAUUAAACUUAAAUGCUUAUGUAGUGUAAUUCUCAAAACCAUCUGAGAAUCCUGCACAUUUAAGAUGAAUUUUUUUCCCUCCUUUGUGUUCUGCUAAUCCGUGGCCUGAGGAUUCCUAGAGAGGACAAGGAAUGACUAUCUACACUGUGAUUCUGGGAGGAAAGACUGAUAACACAAAACUCUCUUCUCUAAUGUAGUAUUUUUUAACAAGAAAAUAAUAUUUCUUUAAUAAAGCAUUUAUACCAAA